CGGGGAGGAACCUUUAUUGGAAGCAAAUUGCGAGCCACGGCGAUCUCGAGCAAGCUUGGACGAACGUUAUCGAUCACGUUGGAACGAGAACGGCGCUAUGGUUGAUUUUAUGUUCAAUAAAGAUUAGAACGCCUGUAGGGAACGACGUUUUGCCAACGAUUCUCGUCUCAGAUACGGGGAAACGAAAUGAUACGACGUGUACCAUGAAGAAAGCUGGCGCAAUUAUAACAAGCCAACCCCUGUGUAACUGGCCCUUGUCUCGCGUUCACCCUACACUAUGGACGAAAGGGCGUCACCAUUGGAAGACCCAUAGAAUUAGUACAGGGACUUCCGGGACGUCAUUUAGAGUAUAGAACCGCGACGAUGAGGCCACUCUAUAUGCAGA
rnacentral:misc_RNA from 1 species